rnacentral:misc_RNA from 1 species
UUACCGGUCUGUACAUUCCUGCAUGCCCAUCAGCUCAUUUUGAUCGCUGCAAGGCGUCUGGUUUCCUCCCUCCCCCUUUCCUCCUCCCUCAUUUCCUUUGCCUCCGCACAGUGCGCUCCCUGUAGCACACGCCCGCCCGACGUCCACACAGCACACAGGGACGUGCUUUCCUUUAUUUUCCCUUUCCUCGUUUUGGUGGGCGAACGCUGAAGCGAUCAUACAGCCAUCUCGGCAGAGGACAGGGGCGACGACAGCGAGGGAGGGCUGAAGAGCACGACAGAGCACACGAAAUAUCGUGUGCGUGUAUGUGUGUGUCCGCGCGACACGCCUCCGCUACGAGUGUGAUGGUCUGUGGUUCAGCACUGCCUUCUUUUGCAGACACCAACAGCAGUACAGCGGCGGCCAAGCGGAACAUCGCAAAACGCAUCCAUCACUGCGCCAGCCCCCUCCUUCCCCCCGCCCCGCCAGCCUCCUCCAACAUUUCUUCUUUGCUUCCUCCCCUGAAGAGGCAACAUCAGCAACGCAGCAUUGCAUAAAACGCCAGCCAUGAGUGGACUUCUUGGCUUCCGUGAGGAGUCUCCAGCGGUGGAGGUGCCAAUCGAGGAUGACAUCUCCUACAACGACUCCGCCUCCCAAUCAUCCUACACCACGAGCCACUCGCGCAGCUCUAGCGGCAGCGUCUAUAGCACAUCCACCUCGGCCACUGACAACGAGGCGUACCAGAACCUCAAGCUCGAGUUGGCCGUGGCUCAAGAAAACAUACUCGAGCUUCAUCAGAAAUACCAGGAUCUCGAGCGAACCUCGACAUACGCAAAAGGGCAACUCGAGAAUGAGAUUGAUAUCUUACGCUUGCAGCUUCAGCGCCUCAAAGACAAACCCGUAACAUCGGAUGAGCACGCGACUCGCCCACUCGGACUGGAGGCCGCGAAGGCUGCGGCUGACGCGAGGGUGCAGGAGCUGGAGGCGGCUGCCGCGUCGAGCGCCGAGGUGGCGAGCAGGCUGGCCGCCGAGCACGCUGAGCACGUCGCCGGGCUGGAGGCCGCGAAGGCUGUGGCUGACGCGAGGGUGCAGGAGCUGGAGGCGGCUGCCGCGUCGAGCGCCGAGGUGGCGAGCAGGCUGGCCGCCGAGCACGCUGAGCACGUCGCCGGGCUGGAGGCCGCGAAGGCUGUGGCUGACGCGAGGGUGCAGGAGCUGGAGGCGGCUGCCGCGUCGAGCGCCGAGGUGGCGAGCAGGCUGGCCGCCGAGCACGCUGAGCACGUCGCCGGGCUGGAGGCCGCGAAGGCUGUGGCUGACGCGAGGGUGCAGGAGCUGGAGGCGGCUGCCGCGUCGAGCGCCGAGGUGGCGAGCAGGCUGGCCGCCGAGCACGCUGAGCACGUCGCCGGGCUGGAGGCCGCGAAGGCUGUGGCUGACGCGAGGGUGCAGGAGCUGGAGGCGGCUGCCGCGUCGAGCGCCGAGGUGGCGAGCAGGCUGGCCGCCGAGCACGCUGAGCACGUCGCCGGGCUGGAGGCCGCGAAGGCUGUGGCUGACGCGAGGGUGCAGGAGCUGGAGGCGGCUGCCGCGUCGAGCGCCGAGGUGGCGAGCAGGCUGGCCGCCGAGCACGCUGAGCACGUCGCCGGGCUGGAGGCCGCGAAGGCUGUGGCUGACGCGAGGGUGCAGGAGCUGGAGGCGGCUGCCGCGUCGAGCGCCGAGGUGGCGAGCAGGCUGGCCGCCGAGCACGCUGAGCACGUCGCCGGGCUGGAGGCCGCGAAGGCUGUGGCUGACGCGAGGGUGCAGGAGCUGGAGGCGGCUGCCGCGUCGAGCGCCGAGGUGGCGAGCAGGCUGGCCGCCGAGCACGCUGAGCACGUCGCCGGGCUGGAGGCCGCGAAGGCUGCGGCUGACGCGAGGGUGCAGGAGCUGGAGGCGGCUGCCGCGUCGAGCGCCGAGGUGGCGAGCAGGCUGGCCGCCGAGCACGCUGAGCACGUCGCCGGGCUGGAGGCCGCGAAGGCUGUGGCUGACGCGAGGGUGCAGGAGCUGGAGGCGGCUGCCGCGUCGAGCGCCGAGGUGGCGAGCAGGCUGGCCGCUGAGCACGCUGAGCACGUCGCCGGGCUGGAGGCCGCGAAGGCUGCGGCUGACGCGAGGGUGCAGGAGCUGGAGGCGGCUGCCGCGUCGAGCGCCGAGGUGGCGAGCAGGCUGGCCGCUGAGCACGCUGAGCACGUCGCCGGGCUGGAGGCCGCGAAGGCUGCGGCUGACGCGAGGGUGCAGGAGCUGGAGGCGGCUGCCGCGUCGAGCGCCGAGGUGGCGAGCAGGCUGGCCGCUGAGCACGCUGAGCACGUCGCCGGGCUGGAGGCCGCGAAGGCUGCGGCUGACGCGAGGGUGCAGGAGCUGGAGGCGGCUGCCGCGUCGAGCGCCGAGGUGGCGAGCAGGCUGGCCGCCGAGCACGCUGAGCACGUCGCCGGGCUGGAGGCCGCGAAGGCUGUGGCUGACGCGAGGGUGCAGGAGCUGGAGGCGGCUGCCGCGUCGAGCGCCGAGGUGGCGAGCAGGCUGGCCGCCGAGCACGCUGAGCACGUCGCCGGGCUGGAGGCCGCGAAGGCUGUGGCUGACGCGAGGGUGCAGGAGCUGGAGGCGGCUGCCGCGUCGAGCGCCGAGGUGGCGAGCAGGCUGGCCGCCGAGCACGCUGAGCACGUCGCCGGGCUGGAGGCCGCGAAGGCUGCGGCUGACGCGAGGGUGCAGGAGCUGGAGGCGGCUGCCGCGUCGAGCGCCGAGGUGGCGAGCAGGCUGGCCGCCGAGCACGCUGAGCACGUCGCCGGGCUGGAGGCCGCGAAGGCUGUGGCUGACGCGAGGGUGCAGGAGCUGGAGGCGGCUGCCGCGUCGAGCGCCGAGGUGGCGAGCAGGCUGGCCGCUGAGCACGCUGAGCACGUCGCCGGGCUGGAGGCCGCGAAGGCUGCGGCUGACGCGAGGGUGCAGGAGCUGGAGGCGGCUGCCGCGUCGAGCGCCGAGGUGGCGAGCAGGCUGGCCGCUGAGCACGCUGAGCACGUCGCCGGGCUGGAGGCCGCGAAGGCUGCGGCUGACGCGAGGGUGCAGGAGCUGGAGGCGGCUGCCGCGUCGAGCGCCGAGGUGGCGAGCAGGCUGGCCGCCGAGCACGCUGAGCACGUCGCCGGGCUGGAGGCCGCGAAGGCUGUGGCUGACGCGAGGGUGCAGGAGCUGGAGGCGGCUGCCGCGUCGAGCGCCGAGGUGGCGAGCAGGCUGGCCGCCGAGCACGCUGAGCACGUCGCCGGGCUGGAGGCCGCGAAGGCUGUGGCUGACGCGAGGGUGCAGGAGCUGGAGGCGGCUGCCGCGUCGAGCGCCGAGGUGGCGAGCAGGCUGGCCGCUGAGCACGCUGAGCACGUCGCCGGGCUGGAGGCCGCGAAGGCUGCGGCUGACGCGAGGGUGCAGGAGCUGGAGGCGGCUGCCGCGUCGAGCGCCGAGGUGGCGAGCAGGCUGGCCGCCGAGCACGCUGAGCACGUCGCCGGGCUGGAGGCCGCGAAGGCUGUGGCUGACGCGAGGGUGCAGGAGCUGGAGGCGGCUGCCGCGUCGAGCGCCGAGGUGGCGAGCAGGCUGGCCGCCGAGCACGCUGAGCACGUCGCCGGGCUGGAGGCCGCGAAGGCUGUGGCUGACGCGAGGGUGCAGGAGCUGGAGGCGGCUGCCGCGUCGAGCGCCGAGGUGGCGAGCAGGCUGGCCGCCGAGCACGCUGAGCACGUCGCCGGGCUGGAGGCCGCGAAGGCUGCGGCUGACGCGAGGGUGCAGGAGCUGGAGGCGGCUGCCGCGUCGAGCGCCGAGGUGGCGAGCAGGCUGGCCGCCGAGCACGCUGAGCACGUCGCCGGGCUGGAGGCCGCGAAGGCUGUGGCUGACGCGAGGGUGCAGGAGCUGGAGGCGGCUGCCGCGUCGAGCGCCGAGGUGGCGAGCAGGCUGGCCGCCGAGCACGCUGAGCACGUCGCCGGGCUGGAGGCCGCGAAGGCUGUGGCUGACGCGAGGGUGCAGGAGCUGGAGUCUUCGGUUGCUGCAGUUGCAGAGAUGUUGGUGAAGGAGCCUAUGAGCGGUACCGCAAAUUGUAUUGUGGAAAAUAAGGUUGUGGGAAAGGGCGUGGAUGAGGUGGUGCUCGCCAGAGAGCUGCAGGCGAGUCUCAGGCAGCAGUUGAAGCAAAGGGAGGCGGCGAGAAGUCGACUUAUGGAUGAGGUGAGGGAGUUGAAGGCCAAGCUUGCAGCUGCAGAUGCGGAAAAGGUGGAGAUUGCGCAUAAUCGAGAAGUGGUCGAGCGAGAGGUGCGCCGACGCGCUGAGGCAACGGAACUGACCGGGUUGUUGGCCGGUCAGGAAAGCGGCCCUGGCAGCAGGACGAAGCGCUACCGUAGCUGGUGCCCAGCAUGCACAGUGAUGUGAUUAUGUGGUUUGGUUCAGGCUCCGCUGAAGUUUUUUUUUUUUGCUUGUUUGUGACUUAGAUCUCGGCCCUCGCUCCUCUUCUCCUUCCGGACGCCUCCUCUGCAUGAUGCGGUGCGCCGGUGGUUGAGCGUGGGGUGUGUCGGCUGCCCUUUGUUUUUGUUUUGAAGCACAUGCAGAGGAACGAAAACCUUUUUGUGGUUUAUGUUCCAUGUUACAGAGUACUGUACAGACUUUGGCGUUUUGCUGUUCGCUGCGUUUUCCGUGUUUAGAUUUAUCGCGGCACUUAUUUUGUAUUUUUUUUAUGUGUGUGCCUGCGUUUGCGGGCGUCCGCACACGCUCGCCCAUCGGGGCUUGAGUGCAGGCGGGUUGAGUUGGGUAAAGAGUGAGCAAGGAAGGGAGUCGUGCGUCGACGUGGGGGAGCGCGCUGAUGCGGUUUGUUUUGCUCCUCGGCGCGCUUUUUUCGUGUGCCUGAGGAACGCGCUACGGUCGGGGCGAGGGCUGUGCAACGCAGACGUUGCGUGCGUGUGCGUGUGGGCAGUAGGAUAUGUGCCGCUAUAUAUAUAUAUGUAUUUCUGUGUUUUCGUCUCAGCAUGGCGCUUGUUGUUCUGGGAAGCUGUGCUGAGAGGAAUGUGCAGAGUUGGGGCUCGCCUUCUCUGUCACGCGAUGGCGAACCUGUACGAGAAGGCGUGCGCGCGUGCGUGUGGAUGUCUUCCUCCCUGUGUGUGGGCGACUGAUACCCACCUCCUUCAAUCGCAUGGUGUACGACAACUUGUUUCUUGCGCUCUCGUUGUCGUGUGCUCGUGUGUGCGGAUGGGUGCUGCACACAGUCGCCCUCACGGCUGUCACAUCGAAAAAGAGUUGAUC